UAUCAGUCAUGCAUAGCAUAUCAAUAAGCGGAGGAAAAGAAACUAACAAGGAUUCCCUUAGUAACGGCGAGUGAAGCGGGAAGAGCUCAAAUUUGAAAUCUUCAAGGUUCUACCUUGACGAAUUGUAGUUUAUAGAAGUGUUUUCUGUUAGUGGAGUGGCAAAAGUUCUUUGGAAUAGGACAUCAUAGAGGGUGAGAAUCCCGUAUUUGGUCAUUCCUCCUAGCGUUGUGAUACACUUUCAACGAGUCGGAUUGUUUGGGAAUGCAGUCCAAAAUGGGUGGUAAAUUUCAUCUAAAGCUAAAUAUUGGCGAGAGACCGAUAGCGAACAAGUACCGUGAGGGAAAGAUGAAAAGAACUUUGAAAAGAGAGUUAAACAGUACGUGAAAUUGUCAAAAGGGAAGCGUUUGACACCAGUGUUGUUCUUCCGAAAAUCAAUUACGAAUGUUUUAGUUUUUGAGGAGUUAUGACUUCAUCGGCUUGCUCCUUUCUUUAUGAAACUUUCUUAAUGCACUUUUCGGUUAACAAGUCAACAUCAAUUUCUUUUGUUGUAAAAGGGUAUGAGGAAGGUGGCUUUCUUUUCGGAGAAAGUGUUUAUAGCCUUGUAGCCUCUGCAAUCGGAGAGAUUGAGGUCUGCAGCGUAGAUCCUUCGGGGUUAGAUACAUUUGUGCUAAGUUAUAGCUUUUCAUAGACAACUUGUUGACUAUGUUUAGUCUUGUAGCUUACUCGCUUAUGCUAUUUUACCUACGCUUAGGAUGUUGAUCUCUCACAGUCGAGC
rnacentral:rRNA from 1 species